AGUGAACGCUGGCGGUAGGCCUAACACAUGCAAGUCGAACGGCAGCACAGUAAGAGCUUGCUCUUACGGGUGGCGAGUGGCGGACGGGUGAGGAAUACAUCGGAAUCUACUUUUUCGUGGGGGAUAACGUAGGGAAACUUACGCUAAUACCGCAUACGACCUACGGGUGAAAGCAGGGGAUCUUCGGACCUUGCGCGAUUGAAUGAGCCGAUGUCGGAUUAGCUAGUUGGCGGGGUAAAGGCCCACUAAGGCGACGAUCCGUAGCUGGUCUGAGAGGAUGAUCGGCCACACUGGAACGGAGACACGGUCCAGACUCCUACGGGAGGCAGCAGUGGGGAAUAUUGGACAGUGGGCGCAAGCCUGAUCCAGCCAUACCGCGUGGGUGAAGAAGGCCUUCGGGUUGUAAAGCCCUUUUGUUGGGAAAGAAAAGCAGCAGGUUAAUACCCCGCUGUUCUGACGGUACCCAAAGAAUAAGCACCGGCUAACUUCGUG
rnacentral:rRNA from 1 species